CAUCUCGAUUAGUUUAUACCAUUUGUAAUUGGUAACGAAAAGGAUUGUUGAUGCUCUGCUUGUACACAAGAAGUAGAAUCCGGCUUAAUCUUUUGAUAGGAUUAUGCUUGGUACUGCUUUUGGAUGAUCAUAGGCCCUCAGAUAAUGAUUGUGUCAGUGCAUGAUGACCCGAAGUCUUAGUGUGGCUGACAAAGGGGCUUACAAGAAUGAACUGUUGAACUAGCUCGCGCGGAAAAGAUAUAUCUGUUAGUAACGAAGAAAGUGCUAAUCUCGCAGUCAACUGUUAAGAAGCGGCGGAGAGAGGUGUAAAUCAUGAAUCAGCAAGCCUUCCAACAAAGGAUUUCGUCGUGGAGAUUUGGCGAUACAUAAAAUAAAGACUUUCCAACCCGACCAUUCAAGGAAAUAGACAAGAUUGAAGCUCCUUGCUUAGGUUCGGUUAUCAUUAAAUGUUUAGGGCCACUUUGGGUAUUGAAGUGAAGAUCUCAAUAGACUAUGCUAAACCCACCCUCCAGCCCUUCCUCGGUCAGUUUGCUAAGAAGAGCUCUAGUGGAAUAGCUCAAUGACAUGGUCAAUCGCUCCGCUUCAGUUAGUUAUUCAUUAUUCAUUAGGAAAGUUCUUUGGGCGAAGGCCCGACCUUGUGAUCAAUAUUUCGUACGUAGACUUUGAAUAUCUAUAUCCAAAGAAAGAGUUGCCAGCGAGGCCUUAGGAGCAUUUAUCCCGGUCCAUUCCUGUGAUUGUGGUAUAGUUCCAGCAUACCGUGAGUGACCUUCGCCAAGGAUGACGCAAGCUGCGAUUGAUUUCCUUGUUGGCGUAUAGAGAGAGUCAAAGAAAGAAGCCCCGCUUUAUUAACGGCCUGUUUAUUAGCUUACUUGCUAAAGGACGUAGCAGUUUGCUCAAGGAUGUAGCAGAACCUAUCCAAAGACAGGAAGCCACUGUGGAUCCUCAGAGCCCGUAGAGCAAAGAACCAAG
rnacentral:lncRNA from 1 species